rnacentral:rRNA from 1 species
GAUGAACGCCGGCGGCGUGCCUAAUACAUGCAAGUCGAGCGAACAGACGAGGAGCUUGCUCCUCUGACGUUAGCGGCGGACGGGUGAGUAACACGUGGAUAACCUACCUAUAAGACUGGGAUAACUUCGGGAAACCGGAGCUAAUACCGGAUAAUAUAUUGAACCGCAUGGUUCAAUAGUGAAAGACGGUUUUGCUGUCACUUAUAGAUGGAUCCGCGCCGCAUUAGCUAGUUGGUAAGGUAACGGCUUACCAAGGCAACGAUGCGUAGCCGACCUGAGAGGGUGAUCGGCCACACUGGAACUGAGACACGGUCCAGACUCCUACGGGAGGCAACAGUAGGGAAUCUUCCGCAAUGGGCGAAAGCCUGACGGAGCAACGCCGCGUGAGUGAUGAAGGUCUUCGGAUCGUAAAACUCUGUUAUUAGGGAAGAACAAAUGUGUAAGUAACUAUGCACGUCUUGACGGUACCUAAUCAGAAAGCCACGGCUAACUACGUG